GGCAGUGUAGCCAAGUGGUUACGGCGUCACGUUUAGGCCCAUGUGCAAAACCGUGAUGGGUUUCCCGCGCGAGUUCGAAUCUCGUCACUGUCA
rfam:Trametes cinnabarina, BRFM137, WGS project CCBP01000000 data, contig: scf184775